UUCCGGUUGAUCCUGCCGGACCCGACUGCUAUCGGAGUGGGACUAAGCCAUGCGAGUCAACAUAGCAAUAUGUGGCAUACGGCUCAGUAACACGUAGUCAACAUGCCCAGGGGACGUGGAUAACCUCGGGAAACUGAGGAUAAACCGCGAUAGGUCAUCACUUCUGGAAUGGGUAAUGACUUAAAUCUAUAUGGCCCCUGGAUUGGACUGCGGCCGAUCAGGCUGUUGGUGAGGUAAUGGCCCACCAAACCUGUAACCGGUACGGGCUCUGAGAGGAGGAGCCCGGAGAUGGGCACUGAGACAAGGGCCCAGGCCCUAUGGGGCGCAGCAGGCGCGAAACCUCUGCAAUAGGCGAAAGCUUGACAGGGUUACUCUGAGUGAUUUCCGUUAAGGAGAUCUUUUGGCACCUCUAAAAAUGGUGCAGAAUAAGGGGUGGGCAAGUCUGGUGUCAGCCGCCGCGGUAAUACCAGCACCCCGAGUGGUCGGGACGUUUAUUGGGCCUAAAGCAUCCGUAGCCGGUUCUACAAGUCUUCCGUUAAAUCCACCUGCUUAACAGAUGGGCUGCGGAAGAUACUAUAGAGCUAGGAGGCGGGAGAGGCAAGCGGUACUCGAUGGGUAGGGGUAAAAUCCGUUGAUCCAUUGAAGACCACCAGUGGCGAAGGCGGCUUGCCAGAACGCGCUCGACGGUGAGGGAUGAAAGCUGGGGGAGCAAACCGGAUUAGAUACCCGGGUAGUCCCAGCUGUAAACGAUGCAGACUCGGUGAUGAGUUGGCUUAUUGCUAACUCAGUGCCGCAGGGAAGCCGUUAAGUUUGCCGCCUGGGGAGUACGGUCGCAAGACUGAAACUUAAAGGAAUUGGCGGGGGAGCACCACAAGGGGUGAAGCUGCGGUUCAAUUGGAUUCAACGCCGGG
rnacentral:rRNA from 1 species